UCUAAAUGUCUUUACUGUCACUUUUGAUCAAUUUAAUGUAUCCUUGAUGAAUAAAAGUUUCGAUUUAUUUUUUUUUUAAAAAGCUUACUGACUCCAAAAUUCUGAUUUUUUUUCUAGAAUAUGUGUCAAAGCCUGAAUUCUCCUUUGAUGUUGUGAAGCUUGAUGAUGGAGGUUAUAAAGCCAUCAUCACGUGUCAGUCUAAGAAAGGAACGCCGCUCAACACCUUUAGCCUGUUGAACCACACUGACCUCAUCGCCACCGAAACGACUGACACAACCAGUGCGAUCUUUAACAUGCCCAUCGAGCUGAACCGUUACAUGGGACAAAUGAAAUGUAACGCCAGCAACGAGGGCAACUGGGUUCUGAGUGACCCGUACAGCUUGACCGUGGGCCGAGACAGCGCUGGAUUCUACCACUGCCAAGCUUCAGACAGAUUCGACAACAGCACCAGCAUCCGCAGCCCAAAGAUGCUGAUCAGUAAAGAGGGUACAGAAGCCUGACACCAAACACUACACUGAAUCACUUUAGAAAGGGGAUUUUUUUAAAAGGAAGAAUUAAUAUAUGAUCAAAUAGUCAAAUAGCUGCUGCUCUCCCUGUUAUGAAGAGUCUGGGCUAAUUUAUAUGCAUUCAAUCAUAUGAUGUUUCUAAAUAUUAG
rnacentral:lncRNA from 1 species